CUCGCUCGUCCCGAAUUCAUUUUUGAAAGAACUGACAAAACACUGUUCAUCAUCUACGGUAAACAGAGAAUUACCACCAACGAAGGGACCUGGACGAACAAUCAGGCCAUAUUCAUCCCCAGGCGAUGACACUGGUGACCGUAUUCGAAUUCUAGUUGAACCAAGGGUUUCAGUGAUUCAUUAGAGGUAAAGAAACGAUGACAUUAGGCUGUCCGUGUUUACCUCUUGCGAUGGCAAGUAUUAUCGCUGCUUCCCUUUCGCAGCGACCAUUAAGAACUGGACGAAACUUUCGCAUAAAACUUCUAGAUGGUAUUGCGCUAGGAAUUACAAGAUCCCGGCUCCCCUGUCCAUCAUUCAUUUUGAGAACAAAAUAAGAUUAGGUAUUGAGUAGUCGUUGGAACCGGUGAUGAAGCUUUCACCGAACUGUAUUUUGGGUUUCCGACGACGAAAUCACCGCCGCCGCUGCAACAGGGUUUCUGACGGCAAAAAACAAAGGGAAAAGGAUCAGGGUUUCCUCCGCCCCCUUCAACUCUGUUUUUGGAUCUACCAAAAUCACCGUGCCACUACUGCAACUUCCAAUAGCGGCGGUGAUUUCUUCUUCCGCCCCCCUUCUCUUCGUUUACCCUCUCCACCUCCCCUAAUUGCAUAUCAAGAAUUCACUGAAAAACCAGCCCAACUGAGAUAACCCUUUUACACAGAUUAUAAAAAAAAUAGAAGAGUAAAAUAGUCUUUUUAUCUUAUCGUUAACUGAAUAUUAAGAGGCACUAACUAUAA